GUGGGGAAUAUUGGACAAUGGGCGAAAGCCUGAUCCAGCCAUGCCGCGUGUGUGAAGAAGGUCUUCGGAUUGUAAAGCACUUUAAGUUGGGAGGAAGGGCAGUAAGUUAAUACCUUGCUGUUUUGACGUUACCGACAGAAUAAGCACCGGCUAACUUCGUGCCAGCAGCCGCGGUAAUACGAAGGGUGCAAGCGUUAAUCGGAAUUACUGGGCGUAAAGCGCGCGUAGGUGGUUUUGUAAGUUGGAGGUGAAAUCCCCGGGCUCAACCUGGGAACUGCCUCCAAAACUGCAUGACUAGAGUACGGUAGAGGGUAGUGGAAUUUCCUGUGUAGCGGUGAAAUGCGUAGAUAUAGGAAGGAACACCAGUGGCGAAGGCGACUACCUGGACUGAUACUGACACUGAGGUGUGAAAGCGUGGGGAGCAAACAGGAUUAGAAACCCUGGUAGUCC
rnacentral:rRNA from 1 species